UACAGAGGUCUCAAGCGUUGUUCGGAUUCAUUGGGCGUAAAGGGUGCGUAGGUGGCGCCGUAAGUCAGGUGUGAAAUUUCGGAGCUUAACUCCGAAACUGCAUUUGAUACUGCGGUGCUUGAGGACUGGAGAGGAGACUGGAAUUUAUGGUGUAGCAGUGAAAUGCGUAGAUAUCGAGAGGAACACCUGCGGCGAAGGCGGGUUGCUGGGCUGACACUGACGCUGAACUGCGAAAGCUAGGGGAGCGAACGGG
rnacentral:rRNA from 1 species